AGACGCUGCUGAGGCUGCUUCGGUUGCGGGUCGGAACGGCGCUGCUCUGCGGGGCCGGUCCAGGCUGGCAGCUGCCGGCGCUUGGCGGUGAGGGCGGGCUCCCGAGUGGCCCCCCACCGAAGGCGGUGGGACCAGCGGCUGAGGCCAGGAUGCCGUCCAGGCGGCGCGGCGGCUCCUCACUCAUCCCAGAGUGGAGAGAUCUACAGACCAAGUAAUCAAGCCAGUCAAUGUAGGAGCUCUAUCAAAAUGGGUUGGGAAGAUACCGCCAGAUGUUUUACAAGACAUGGCAGUGAUUGCUCCUAUGCUUGCCAAGCUUGGAUAUGACCCAUAUGCCAACCCACCUAACUACGGAAAACCUGAUCCCAAAAUUAUUGAAAACACUCGAAGGGUCUAUAAGGGAGAAUUCCAACUACCUGACUUUCUUAAAGAAAAACCACAGACUGAGCAAGUGGAGUAGCAGAACCAGGAGCCUCUUCCAUACAUGAGUCUCUGUGUUCUCUGGAGCUUCCUUUAAAGAACCUUAGGACCCAUUUCUUCACAUGAGGAGGAAUCAGGGUGCUGCCCCCUGGACACUUAAAGAACCUUAGGACCCAUUUCUUCACAUGAGGAGGAAUCAGGGUCUUGACCCCUGGACACUUGAAGAACCUUAGGACCCAUUUCUUCACAUAAGGAGGAAUC
rnacentral:sRNA from 1 species